rnacentral:rRNA from 1 species
AUUGAACGCUGGCGGCAGGCCUAACACAUGCAAGUCGAGCGGCGCGGCGGUCGGGUGCGUAAGGCCUAGGAAUCGGCCUGGUCGUGAGGGAUGACGACCGGUACCGGGCACUGAUGCCACAUCCUCUCAGCUGAGCCUAGGUCGGAUUGGCUAGUUGGUGGGGUAAGGGCCAACCAAGGCGACGAUCCGUAACUGGUCUGAGAGGAUGAGCAGCCACACUGGAACUGAGACACGGUCCAGACUCCUACGGGAGGCAGCAGUGGGGAAUAUUGGACAAUGGGCGAAAGCCUGAUCCAGCCAUGCCGCGUGUGUGAAGAAGGUCUUCGGAUUGUAAAGCACUUUAAGCUGGGAGGCGUUACCAACAGAAUAAGCACCGGCUAACUCCGUGCCAGCAGCCGCGGUAAUAC